GAUGAACGCUGGCGGCGUGCCUAAUACAUGCAAGUCGAGCGAACAGACGAGGAGCUUGCUCCUCUGACGUUAGCGGCGGACGGGUGAGUAACACGUGGAUAACCUACCUAUAAGACUGGGAUAACUUCGGGAAACCGGAGCUAAUACCGGAUAAUAUAUUGAACCGCAUGGUUCAAUAGUGAAAUCCGGUUUUGCUGUCACUUAUAGAUGGAUCCGCCCCGCAUUAGCUAGUUGGGAAGGUAACGGCUUACCAAGGCAACGAUGCGUAGCCGACCUGAGAGGGUGAUCGGCCACACUGGAACUGAGACACGGUCCAGACUCCUACGGGAGGCAGCAGUAGGGAAUCUUCCGCAAUGGGCGAAAGCCUGACGGAGCAACGCCGCGUGAGUGAUGAAGGUCUUCGGAUCGUAAAACUCUGUUAUUAGGGAAGAACAAAUGUGUAAGUAACUAUGCACGUCUUGACGGUACCUAAUCAGAAAGCCACGGCUAACUACGUGCCAGCCGCCGCGGUAA
rnacentral:rRNA from 1 species